rnacentral:rRNA from 1 species
GACGAACGCUGGCGGCGUGCCUAAUACAUGCAAGUCGAACGCAGUGGGGACGGGUGAGUAACACGUGGGUAACCUCCCAUCAGAGGGGAUAACACUUGGAAACAGGUGCUAAACCGAUACUGAUGGAUGGACCCGCGGUGCAUUAGCUAGUUGGUGGGGUAACGGCUCACCAAGGCGACGAUGCAUAGCGGGCCUGAUAGGAUGACCGGCCACACUGGGACUGAGACACGGCCCAGACUCCUACGGGAGGCAGCAGUAGGGAAUCUUGGGCAAUGGACGAAAGUCUGACCGAGCAACGCCGCGUGAGUGAAGAAGGUUUUCGGAUCGUAAAGCACUUUCGGUGGGGAAGCGUUACCUAACCAGAAAGCCCCGGCUAACUCCGUGCCAGCAGCCGCGGUAAUAC